GUCAGUCCUUGGGUUACAUUAAUUAAAGGGGUUCACACCUACGGACAAGUAUAAAAGACGGAUCCUCCCCCAAAGUUCCAUCUGCCAAUUAUCCGUGACCAGCAAUCCGUUGGAUGCUAGCAGCAGCAGAUGCGGCGGGCCUCGUGGGUGGCAACAUCUGAAAUAAACCUCUCUUGAAAGUAUUCGCUAGGAAAGGAGGAUCACGAAAAGUUUGGAUGAUUCCCAAAAUACAGGUAUAUCAAAAGUUGCGGACUCCUGUGCGACGUCGUCGCUCACCCGGCGUGAACUGUGUCUUCCCAGCAGAAUGAAACAGACCCAACGAAUUUGUUGCAAACGCUUCAGGUGAUGAUCUGAUCUCAGGUGGCAGCUCGUGUGUAAUUGUGGUCGAGGAAUCCGGCCCCCCAUCUUCCUAUCUGUCCAUCUCUCAGCGCUCUUGUCGAGGCG